AUUAACUGCUACCACCACUCCGAGGAAGGGGAGGAAUGAAGGAAACUUAUUUUUAUUCUGGAAACUAGAGGAGAAAACCUGACUGAAAACAUAAUGAAAUGAGGUAAUAUCUGAGCCCAGGAGCAAGAUGAGAUUCAGAAUAAUGAUAGUGUGAAAACAGUGCUGUGCUCUAUUAGAGG